rnacentral:sRNA from 1 species
CCGUCAGCAAUUGUCCCGAGACGUAGAAGGCAACCGAAUCGGGACCGUGCUCGGCGAUACUGCGCGAAAAGCGUUCGGCAACGAGAUCGAGCGCCUCGCUCCAGCCUGCGCGACGGCCGCCGAUUUCCGGGUGAAGGAGGCGGCCGUCGAGAUCGAGGG